GGAGAUUGAGGAGAGAUUGAGGAAGGGAUGAGGGAGAGAUGGAGGAAGAGAUGGAGGAGACAUGAGGGAGAGAUGGAGGAGAGAUAGAUGAAGAGAUGGAGGAGAGAUGAGGGAGAGAUGAGGGGGAGAUGGAGAGAUGAAGGUGAGAUGAGGGAGAGAUGGAGAGAUGGAGGUGAGAUGAGGGAGAGAAGAGGGCAAGAUGGAGAGGUGGAGAAGAGAUGGAGAAGAGAUGAGGGAGAGAUGGAGGAAGAGAUGGAGGAGAGAUGGAGGAGAGAUGAGGGAGAGAUGAGGGAGAGAUGGAGGAGAGAUGAGUGAGGAGAUGGAGGAGAGAUGAGGGAGAGAUGGAGGAGAUUGAGGAGAGAUGGAGGAAGGGAUGAGGGAGAGAUGGAGGAAGAGAUGGAGGA
ensembl:lncRNA